rnacentral:tRNA from 1 species
GGUCGAUUGUCGAGUGGUCUAAACUGUUUACUUUCAAUCACUACAACCCGGGUUCGAAUCCCGCAUUGGACA